UACGGAGGGUGCAAGCGUUAUCCGGAUUCACUGGGUUUAAAGGGUGCGUAGGUGGGUCUGUAAGUCAGUGGUGAAAUCUCCGGGCUUAACCUGGAAACUGCCAUUGAUACUAUAGGUCUUGAAUUUUCUGGAGGUUAGCGGAAUAUGUCAUGUAGCGGUGAAAUGCUUAGAUAUGACAUAGAACACCAAUUGCGAAGGCAGCUAACUACGGGAGGAUUGACACUGAGGCACGAAAGCGUGGGGAUCAAACAGG
rnacentral:rRNA from 1 species